AUUGAACGCUGGCGGCAGGCCUAACACAUGCAAGUCGAACGGAGCGGCGGAAGGGUGAGUAAUGCCUAGGAAUCAACCGGGUGGUGGGGGAUAACGUCCGGAAACGGGCGCUAAUACCACAUACUAUCAGAUGACCCUAGGUCGGAUUAGCUAGUUGGUGGGGUAAAGGCUUACCAAGGCGACGAUGCGUAACUGGUCCGAGAGGAUGAUCAGUCACACGGGAACUGAGACACGGUCCAGACUCCUACGGGAGGCAGCAGUGGGGAAUAUUGGACAAUGGGCGAAAGCCUGAUCCAGCCAUGCCGCGUGUGUGAAGAAGGUCUUCGGAUUGUAAAGCACUUUAAGUGGGGAGGCGUGACCAACAGAAAAAGCACCGGCUAACUUCGUGCCAGCCGCCGCGGUAAUAC
rnacentral:rRNA from 1 species